GACGAACGCUGGCGGCGUGCCUAAUACAUGCAAGUCGAACGCACUGGGGACGGGUGAGUAACACGUGGGUAACCUCCCUUCAGAGGGGAUAACCCUUGGAAACAGGUGCUAAACCGAUACUGAUGGAUGGACCCGCGGGGCAUUAGCUACUUGGUGAGGUAACGGCUCACCAAGGCCACGAUGCAUAGCGGACCGAAGAGGGUGAUCAGCCACACGGGGACUGAGACACGGCCCAGACUCCUACGUGAGGCAGCAGUAGGGAAUCUUCGGCAAUGGACGAAAGUCUGACCGAGCAACGCCGCGUGAGUUAAGAAGGUUUUCGGAUCGUAAAUCUCUGUUGUUAGAGAAGCGUUAUCUAACCAGAAAGCCACGGCUAACUACGUUCCAGCAGCCGCGGUAAUAC
rnacentral:rRNA from 1 species